UGUGGAAUUGUGUCUUCACGCCUUUGUAUAGCUCAAAUCUGUUCAAGUCUCUACUUUUUUCAGAUUCUUCAAUCUCUUUGGGUGUUGCAGUCCCAUUGGAUGCUUCUGGUUUCCAGAUUCAAGAGAGAAGAUAGAAGAUGCUAAUCCCACUUCAUAUCUUUGAAGGAAAAGUUUGAGAAGAGGCCAAUAUAAAAGGAGCUGGAAGCACCCACCACAUCCCUGUCUCCAACUUGCUACUCUGGAGGCUUAAGGAAACUUUGCUUUGGUAAAGCCAGUCUUGAAUGAACCAAUCAGAAGAAGCAUCUGGUAAAUCUGUAAGGAAAAAUUCAUUUUUACGUCAGAGACAUUAGAUAAACUCUAGCCACAUCUUGCUAGGAACAGCCCCGUCGGCACACAGAAAUCUGCUAAACAAACAAGGCUAAAGGUCACUUUAUAUACGAGGAAACAGAGCCAAACCGGGUAUACGCUGGUCUGCGAUCAAUCACAGUCAGGAAGGUCCGAUUUGAGCUGCAUUCUAUCCAUUGUGCCACCUAGUUGCCCCUUGUUGAUACCUUUCAACAAAGCACCAACCUCUGUCUCACCCAAGAUUUGCAAUCAAUCUUUACCAUGACCAUGAGUCCACGGAGGACCCUUGGCAUCUUUGACGUCGGACCCAGCUGGAAGCACCCCACAGGGAAUGUGCGUCAGCUGCCUCCAUAGCCUUGAACCAACUGUUCCCCUUCGCCCA
rnacentral:lncRNA from 1 species